AUGGGACGGAGGGAGUAAAUUACAAGAAAACAUGUAACUGUCGAAUUUCGACGGGUAAUACACUAGUGUUAAUAAUUGCAAGAAGGAAUGUUAAUUAAUCCACCACAUUCUGCUGCCAGAAGUACUUGAAUAGAAUAGAGCAUUAAUUACAACAGAAGCAUGAAAAAGAAGUAGAAGAGUCGUGAAUUCACUCAAACAAACAUAUCAUCCACUAUACCAUCAACUUUUUGCCUUCUUAAUUUGAACAUUCGAGUAUUUGAUGAGCUACAUCAUAAACAACGGCCAUUCUGAACUCUGCAGAGGGGAAAAAAAGUAAUUAUAGGAGUCAUCUAACAAAACCAAGUAGCAAAUUAAAUAUUCAAACGAGACGAAGAUGAUGAUUCCAUACAUAUUUUUGGAAGAAACUAAAUCUGAAAAUGAUGACUCCAUCCAUAUUUUUGGAAAAAACUAAUCUGAAAAUGAUGAUUCCACACAGAGCAGUUCUCGAAACAAAGGCAACCAAAUUAGUCAAAUUUUACAAAUCUCUAACCUGAAAAGGAGCAGACAUCAUAUC
rnacentral:lncRNA from 1 species